rnacentral:piRNA from 1 species
UAAGAACUCGAUCCUGAAAAUUUACCA